rnacentral:rRNA from 1 species
CUUGUAGAGAGGUAGCCCCGAGAAUGGCAUUGAGACACCUGCCCUAGCCUUAAGGGGUGCAGCAGGCGCGAAACCUUUACAAUGCACGAAAGUGUGAUAAGGGGAUCCCAAGUGCUCAUAGUAAGUAUGGGCUUUCUCCAAGGUUAAAACCCGUGGCGAAUAAGUGUUGGGAAAGACUGGUUCCAGCACCCGCGGUAACACCAGCGCCACGAGUGGCUAUCAUGUUUAUUGGGCUUAAAGCGCUCGUAGCCGGUCUGGUAAAUCUUCUGUGAAUUUACUCAGCUUAACUGAGUAGCGUCCAGUAGAUACUGCUAGACUAGGAUCCGGGAGUAUUCAGAGGUAUUCCUUGGGUAGCGGUAAAAUGCUGUAAUCCUUGGAGGACCACCUGUGGCGAAGGCGUCUGACCAGAACGGAUCCGACGGUGAGGGACGAAAGCCAGGGGAGCAAACCGGAUUAGAUACCCGUGUAGUCCUGGCCGUAAACGCUGUCGAGUUAGGUGUUGCACAAUCCACGAGAUUGUGCAAUGUCGAAGCGAAGGUGUUAGAGCUCGCCGCCUGGGAAGUAUAGUCGCAAGACCGAAACUCAAAUGAAUUGACGG